AAAAUACUACCUCCAGCCGAAAAUACUUGUUGGAGAAAUGGAUGUAUCUAGACGUAUUUUACUUUUUGAUACAUUCAUUUUUAUCUAUUUCCCUCACAAGUAUUUCCAGACAGAGGAUGUAUAAA
rnacentral:pre_miRNA from 1 species